AUACGUAGGGAGCGAGCGUUGUCCGGAAUUACUGGGCGUAAAGGGCGCGCAGGCGGCGCUUCAAGUCGUCUGUCAAAUGGGAGGGCUUAACCCUUUUUCGCAGACGAAACUGGAGAGCUUGAGAAGCAGAGAGGCAAACAGAAUUCCUGGUGUAGCGGUGAAAUGCGUAGAUAUCAGGAAGAAUACCAGUGGCGAAGGCGGUUUGCUGGCUGCAUACUGACGCUGAAGCGCGAAAGCCAGGGGAGCAAACGGGAUUAGAUACCCCGGUAGUCCUGGCAGUAAACGAUGUAUGCUGGGUGUGAGACUAGCGAUAGUUUCGUGCCGAAGUUAACGCGAUAAGCAUACCGCCUGGGGAGUACGGUCGCAAGAUUGAAACUCAAAGGAAUUGACGGGG
rnacentral:rRNA from 1 species